UUUACUCUGUUCCCCGUACUAUUCUACCUCAUGGUGCCUCUUUUCAUGGACAUCUGUUAACACUUAAUAUAACAUACGAGUCUACCAAAGAUACAUUCACAGUAGAGGCUCAUAGCAAUGAAACAAUAGGAAGUGUUAGAUGGAAGAUAGCAAAGCUGUUGAAUGCUCCUGUGGACAACAUACAAAUAUUUGCAAAUGAUAGUUUGCUAACGGUGAAUAAAGAUCAAAAGCUGCUUCACCAGCUCGGCUUCUCUGAUGAACAGGCACUUACUGUAAAAACAUCAGGAAGUGGAACUCCAUCAGCAAGCUCUGCAGAUUCCUCUGCUAGCUCUAGCAACAGUGGUAGUGUCUUCAGUUCAUCAUAUGCAAUGGAACAGG